AUACGAAGGUCCCAAGCGUUAUUCGGAAUCACUGGGCGUAAAGAGUACGUAGGCGGUUUGGUAAGUCAGGUGUGAAAUCCCGAAGCUCAACUUCGGAACUGCAUCCGAUACUGCCAGACUAGAGUAAUGGAGAGGCAGGUGGAAUUCUCGGUGUAGCAGUGAAAUGCGUGGAUAUCGAGAGGAAGAACAAUGGCGAAGGCAGCCUGCUGGACAUUUACUGACGCUGAGGUACGAAGGCUAGGGGAGCGAAAGGGAUUAGAAACCCCAGUAGUCC
rnacentral:rRNA from 1 species